rnacentral:rRNA from 1 species
GAGGAAUAUUGGUCAAUGGGCGAGAGCCUGAACCAGCCAUCCCGCGUGCAGGAUGACGGCCCUAUGGGUUGUAAACUGCUUUUCUGCGCCAAGAAACCCCCGCUCGUGAGCGGGGCUGACGGUAGCGCAGGAAUAAGCACCGGCUAACUCCGUGCCAGCAGCCGCGGUAAUACGGAGGGUGCAAGCGUUAUCCGGAUUCAUUGGGUUUAAAGGGUGCGCAGGUGGGAAUGUAAGUCAGUGGUGAAAUACUGCCGCUUAACGGUAGAACUGCCAUUGAUACUGCGUUUCUUGAGUAUGGUUGAGGUAGGUGGAAUGUGUUGUGUAGCGGUGAAAUGCAUAGAUAUGACACAGAACGCCGAUUGCGAAGGCAACUUACUAAGCCAUUACUGACGCUGAGGCACGAAAGCGUGGGUAGCGAAC